rnacentral:rRNA from 1 species
GAUGAACGCUGGCGGCGUGCCUAAUACAUGCAAGUCGAGCGAACGGACGAGAAGCUUGCUUUUCUGAUGUUAGCGGCGGACGGGUGAGUAACACGUGGAUAACCUACCUUUAAGACUGGGAUAACUUCGGGAAACCGGAGCUAAUAUCGGAUAAUAUUUUGAACCGAAUGGUUCAAAAGUGAAAGACGGUCUUGCUGUCACUUAUAGAUGGAUCCGCGCUGCAUUAGCUAGUUGGUAAGGUAACGGCUUACCAAGGCAACGAUGCAUAGCCGACCUGAGAGGGUGAUCGGCCACACUGGAACUGAGACACGGUCCAGACUCCUACGGGAGGCAGCAGUAGGGAAUCUUCCGCAAUGGGCGAAAGCCUGACGGAGCAACGCCGCGUGAGUGAUGAAGGUCUUCGGAUCGUAAAACUCUGUUAUUAGGGAAGAACAUAUGUGUAAGUAACUGUGCACAUCUUGACGGUACCUAAUCAGAAAGCCACGGCUAACUACGUG